AGCGGCGGACGGGUGAGUAAUGUCUGGGAAACUGCCUGAUGGAGGGGGAUAACUACUGGAAACGGUAGCUAAUACCGCAUAACGUCGCAAGACCAAAGAGGGGGACCUUCGGGCCUCUUGCCAUCAGAUGUGCCCAGAUGGGAUUAGCUAGUAGGUGGGGUAAUGGCUCACCUAGGCGACGAUCCCUAGCUGGUCUGAGAGGAUGACCAGCCACACUGGAACUGAGACACGGUCCAGACUCCUACGGGAGGCAGCAGUGGGGAAUAUUGCACAAUGGGCGCAAGCCUGAUGCAGCCAUGCCGCGUGUGUGAAGAAGGCCUUCGGGUUGUAAAGCACUUUCAGCGAGGAGGAAGGUGGUGAGCUUAAUACGCUCAUCAAUUGACGUUACUCGCAGAAGAAGCACCGGCUAACUCCGUGCCAGCAGCCGCGGUAAUACGGAGGGUGCAAGCGUUAAUCGGAAUUACUGGGCGUAAAGCGCACGCAGGCGGUUUGUUAAGUCAGAUGUGAAAUCCCCGGGCUCAACCUGGGAACUGCAUUUGAAACUGGCAAGCUAGAGUCUCGU
rnacentral:rRNA from 1 species